GCGCAGCUGAGGGCCCUGUGUGGGUGCGAGUGUGUGAGUGUGUGUCGCUUGGGUCCAUGCUCAUGCACACACCCACACGUCCACACUC
rnacentral:pre_miRNA from 1 species